CUGUUGGGGAGAAAUAAAAUGAAUAUGGGUGUCCAGGCCGCCGGCUGUAAGGAUCAGGCCCUCCCCGGCCAGAGCUUCAGUGGAAGCCCCCACACUCAUGCCAGGGGUAACCCCGUCCAUGAUGUCCGGAUUUCCUGCUUUUCCGAUACCGGCGAUCUUUCCGUCCUUGAUGCCGAUAUCUGCUUUAUAAAUUCCUGUGUAAUCCACUACCAGAGCAUUGGUGAUGACAAGAUCCAGGGCGUCACGGCUUGUGGCCAUCACGGACUGGCCCAUGCCGUCCCGC
rnacentral:sRNA from 1 species